AACAUUCUAACAGAAGCUCAAUUUUCUCAUCAAUGAAAGUGGAGAACGGACGAACCUGGGCUCCGUCUCUCUCUCUGGUCUUGAUACCCAUCCCUAGGCUUUCUGCCUCCCCUUCUCGAUCUUCUCUCUUCUUGUGUUUCUCUGUUCUUGUUUUCAGACCUUCCCUUCUCUCUCUCUCUCGCUUCCCCUUGUUUUAUUUUCUUCAACAACAUGAUAAAAAAACGCUGAGGAUGUGAAUAAACUUAUUCGAUUGGCUCAAAAUUUGAACUGCAUGGAACCCAUUUUGAAGCUUUCAAUAAACACUGAGCAGACAACAAAAACAUCGCAAGAUCCUUGUGGGCAAACUCAUAUCUGAUAGGUCUUUCAGUUUAAACAUCAUUGGAUCCUCUUUAGCUAAAUCGUGGCGUAUGGGAAAGGAUUUUCAGGUUGUAUCCGAG
rnacentral:lncRNA from 1 species